UUCCGGUUGAUCCCGCCGGAGGUUACUGCUAUCGAGGUUCGACUAAGCCAUGCGAGUCGAAUGUAGCAAUACAUGGCGAACUGCUCAGUAACACGUGGACAACCUGCCCUUAGGUUGGGUAUAAACCCGGGAAACUGGGUAUAAUACCCGAUAGGUCUCGAUUGCUGGAAUGCAUCGAGAUUUAAAGCUCCGGCGCCUAAGGAUGGGUCUGCGGCCUAUCAGGUAGUAGUGGGUGUAGCGUACCUACUAGCCUACGACGGGUACGGGUUGUGAGAGCAAGAGCCCGGAGAUGGAUUCUGAGACACGAAUCCAGGCCCUACGGGGUGCAGCAGGCGCGAAAACUUUACAAUGCUGGCAACAGCGAUAAGGGAACCUCGAGUGCCAGGUUACAAAUCUGGCUGUCGAGAUGCCUAAAAAGCAUUUCAUAGCAAGGGCCGGGCAAGACCGGUGCCAGCCGCCGCGGUAACACCGGCGGCUCGAGUGGUAACCGUUAUUAUUGGGUCUAAAGGGUCUGUAGCCGGCCGGAUAAGUCUCUUGAGAAAUCUGGCAGCUUAACUGUCAGGCUUUCAGGAGAUACUGUCUGGCUCGAGGCCGGGAGAGGUGAGAGGUACUUCAGGGGUAGGGGUGAAAUCUUGUAAUCCCUGAAGGACCACCAGUGGCGAAGGCGUCUCACCAGAACGGACCUGACGGCAAGGGACGAAAGCUAGGGGCACGAACCGGAUUAGAUACCCGGGUAGUCCUAGCCGUAAACGAUACUCGCUAGGUGUCGGCCACGGUGCGACCGUUGUCGGUGCCGUAGGGAAGCCGUGAAGCGAGCCACCUGGGAAGUACGGCCGCAAGGCUGAAACUUAAAGGAAUUGGCGGGGGAGCACCACAACGGGUGGAGCUUGCGGUUUAAUUGGAUUCAACGCCGGACCUUUCG
rnacentral:rRNA from 1 species